AGGGAUAUAACUUAGCCAUAGAGUGUCACCUUGACGUGGUAGAAUUCAUCGGUUCGAGUCUGAUUAUCUCUA
rfam:Daucus carota subsp. sativus cultivar DH1 chromosome 8, whole genome shotgun sequence.